CGGACGGGUGAGUAACGCGUGAGUAACCUGCCUUACACAAGGGGAUAGCCGUUGGAAACGACGAAUAAUACCCUGUGAAACUAUCACUUCGCAUGAAGCGAUAGUCAAAGUGUUAGCGGUGUAAGAUGGACUUGCGUCUGAUUAGCUAGUUGGUGAGAAAAAAGCCCACCAAGGCAACGAUCAGUAGCCGGCUUGAGAGAGUGUACGGCCACAUUGGGACUGAGACACGGCCCAG
rnacentral:rRNA from 1 species